rnacentral:rRNA from 1 species
GUAAUAGCUCACUGGUCGAGUCGGCCCGCGCGGAAGAUGUAACGGGGCUAAACCAUGCACCGAAGCUGCGGCAGCGACACAAUGUGUUGUUGGGUAGGGGAGCGUUCUGUAAGCCUGCGAAGGUGUACUGUGAGGUAUGCUGGAGGUAUCAGAAGUGCGAAUGCUGACAUAAGUAACGAUAAUGCGGGUGAAAAACCCGCACGCCGGAAGACCAAGGGUUCCUGUCCAACGUUAAUCGGGGCAGGGUGAGUCGACCCCUAAGGCGAGGCUGAAAAGCGUAGUCGAUGGGAAACGGGUUAAUAUUCCCGUACUGGUGGUAACUGCGAUGGGGGAACGGAGAAGGCUAGGUUGUCCGGGCGACGGUCGUCCCGGUUCAAGCAGGUAGGCAGAGUGAUUAGGCAAAUCCGGUCACUCAAUGCUGAGAUGUGAUGACGAACCACCAAGGUGGUGAAGCAAUUGAUGCCCCGCUUCCAGGAAAAGCCUCUAAGCUUCAGGUUACCAACAAUCGUACCCCAAACCGACACAGGUGGUCAGGUAGAGAAUACUCAGGCGCUUGAGAGAACUCGGGUGAAGGAACUAGGCAAAAUGGUGCCGUAACUUCGGGAGAAGGCACGCUGGCGGUAGGUAAAGUCCCUCGCGGAUGGCGCUGAAGCCAGUCGAAGAUACCAGCUGGCUGCAACUGUUUAUUAAAAACACAGCACUGUGCAAACACGAAAGUGGAC